UUUUGACAGGAAGAGGGUCCCCUCUAGUGACUCACAACCUUUUUAUUUGAUUCUCUUUGGUAUCCACUUCCUCUCACAUGGGAUACAUGGCAUCCAUUUUUUAAUUCAAAUGAAUUUGGUUUGAGAACAUGGAGAUACCUUGGAGACACUGGCAGUGAUCCUGGGGAGCUUUGAACCAUCAGGAGCCACUGUUCUUGCUUCCUGCUGCAACCUGGAGAUGCUAGUUCCUGCUGCUCCAAGUCACACUACAGGGGCUCCAUCUCCCCUCGAGAUUCUGUGGAGAGCGUCUCCUCCCCACCCUGGGCUUCCCACGGAUGUGCAAAGUUCCAUUAUAUUCACGUUCAGGAGGGAUGGCCAAGUCCCCAGCCUGAAACUGCUUUGAAACUUCCUUUGUUUCUUUGAUUUAUUGUCUUCAUCUUGCCAAGCCCCUAUGUCUUCCAAGUUCCAACUCUCAAAAAUGUGAGAACAUUCAUUCUGUCUUCCUUUUUAGUUUUUUUUUUUUAGUCUAAAAAACCGAUCUAAAGGAUUCAUUUAAACACAUUAUUGAAAAAAAUCUAUUUUAUGCAGCCAGUUUUCUCAUUUGACAAGUGGGGAUAAUAAAAUACCUAUUUUGUAUAUUAUUAGUAGUAAAUAAGAAUAGUGAACAUCGUUCACAGCCCACGUGUCAGGCAUGUUCUAAAUACUUCUCCUGACAUGAUCUACCCAAGAUUUUCACAACCCUGUGAAGUAGCUGCUGUUAUCAUCUGCCGACCCAUCUACCCUUUUAUAGGUGAGGAAACCAAGUCAUGAAGGUGUUAUGCUGCUUCUCCAACACAGCAUAAUAAGUUAGAUUUCAAACCCAGGGAAUUCUGGCUCACAGUCCUAAUUUUUAACCACAGAGCAAACUUGCUUUGCCUUCUGGCCAAACAAUGCCGAUCACAGAGUAAAAACCCAAUGCGUGGAAAUCCCAAAGCAGAAGUCAAUUACAUGUCCUGGAAAGAAAAUGAAGUGCACAUACACAUAAAAUAAUUGGUUUUAAACUUUAAAAAUUACAAAAUUAAAAUGUUUUCCCCAGGAUGUGGUGGCA
rnacentral:lncRNA from 1 species